rnacentral:rRNA from 1 species
GACGAACGCUGGCGGCGUUCUUAACACAUGCACGUCGAACGGAGUGGCGAACGGGUGAGUAACACGUGGGUGACCUGCCCUGCACUUCGGGAUAAGCCUGGGAAACUGGGUCUAAUACCGGAUAGUGUGGGAUGGGCCCGCGGCCUAUCAGCGUGUUGGUGGGGUAAUGGCCUACCAAGGCGGCGACGGGUAGCCGGCCUGAGAGGGUGGACGGCCACAUUGGGACUGAGACACGGGCCAGACUCAGACGGGAGGCAGCAGUGGGGAAUAAUGCACUAUGGGCGGAAGCCUGAGGCAGCGACGCCGCGGGGGGGAUGACGGCCUUCGGGUUGUAGACGCCUUUCACCAUCGACGAGGUAGAUGGAGAAGAAGCACCGGCUAACUUCGUGACAGCAGCCGCGGUAAUUC